GACGAACGCGGCGGCGUGCCUAAUACAUGCAAGUAGGACGCACAGUUUAUACCGUAGCUUGCUACACCAUAGACUGUGAGUUGCGAACGGGUGAGUAACGCGUAGGUAACCUGCCUAUUAGAGGGGGAUAACUAUUGGAAACGAUAGCUAAUACCGCAUAACAGUAUGUAACACAUGUUAGAUGCUUGAAAGAUGCAAUUGCAUCGCUAGUAGAUGGACCUGCGUUGUAUUAGCUAGUAGGUAGGGUAAAGGCCUACCUAGGCAACGAUACAUAGCCGACCUGAGAGGGUGAUCGGCCACACUGGGACUGAGACACGGCCCAGACUCCUACGGGAGGCAGCAGUAGGGAAUCUUCGGCAAUGGGGGGAACCCUGACCGAGCAACGCCGCGUGAGUGAAGAAGGUUUUCGGAUCGUAAAGCUCUGUUGUUAAGGAAGAACGAGUGUGAGAAUGGAAAGUUCAUGCUGU
rnacentral:rRNA from 1 species